rnacentral:lncRNA from 1 species
GUGGUGAUGCACACAGAGUCUUCAGCAAAUUGCCUGGCCUAUAAGGAUGCUCGCCAGUGUGAUGGGCAGUUUUCUGAAAGGUCAUCCUCAAGCCUCCUCUCUCAUCCCUUAUCUGGCCCAGCAGCAGAUCCCGCCGACGCUCAGUUCAGAGGCCAUUCAGCAUCUGACCAUAUCCCACCCUCGCUGCUCCAGCUCAGGCUCCCAUCCGCUCCCACCUGGUUUCUAGCAGGUUCUCCUGCCAGCUCCCUUCUCUCCUUGCCCUGCCCCUCUCACCAGCUGUUCUCAGCAAGCAGCCCAGUGGCCCUUUCAGAAUGUCAGAAUUCCCAUUGCCCUGCCCAUGGGCUCCCAUGUUACUCGGUGUAAAAGCCAAAAUCCUCCUGGCAGCCCACGAGGCUCCUCCCCACUCCUCCCUGUCCUCUCCUCCUCCUCUCACUAAGCCCUGCAUCCUUUCCUGCUCUUGCUCAGCACCUCGGCGCUUGGGGUUCCCGCUCUCAUGAGCCUCCCACCCCUACCUACCUGUUCAUCCCCCCACCCCCACCACCUCCUCUCCCCAAGUCUGUGCCCAGCUGCCACCUUCUCAAGCUUUCCCUAACCAGCCCCACCUGGCUUGCCUCACUCCCCUUCCCAGCCUUCACCUUCUCAGGCUUUCCCUGACCAGUCCCACCUGGGAUGGCUCACUCCCCUUCCCAGGCAGACUCUGAGAUGUAUUUUGCUCUUGGACUUUGUUGGUCUGAC